GCAAAGAUUUUGAGCCGCUUAGCUGGUAAACCAGCUGAGUCGCUCACCGAAGAGGAUAAGUCCUCUCUCCAAUGGGCUAAGGAAAAACUGGCUGUUCUGGAGAAAAGUCCCCCCCUCACGUCCAAAGACGCGCCUAAACGGCAACGUUCUGAGGAGGAGACCAAUCCUCAGGGCCAGCAGCCCGGGACAAAACGUCCAAAACCGUCACUCCCCAAGCCGCAUGACAGGACCUUCAGUGAGGUGGCCAAGGACCAUCUCACGCGUGCUGUCAUCGACAGGAGUGACAUCGACGGCGCUAUGUCCCCAUCUAGAUGGGACAUAGUACGCAAGAAACUGAUGGGGGUGUUCUGGGAAGUUCUUAAACAGAACCCUGGUCCCCCCCUCAGUGUGAGGACGGCGGUUGGUUUCACAAUCGUGUGAAACUGAUGGCUUGUUCCAAUGAGCGUUCAGCUUCGCUCCUGAAGCAGGCUGUCGCUCGUAUCAAGGAUCCGUGGGAAGGCGCAAAGCUGGAAGUGGUCUCUGUGGACGAGAUUCCACGAAGGCCUAGAUCCACCGCCAUAAUCCCCGCGGAACCUCAUAAUAAGGCGGAGAUAAUGGAACUCCUACGGGUUGGGAAUCCGGACCUUCCAACACAAGAUUGGAAGGUCGUCAGGGUCUCUCAACCAGUAGGCAGCUCCAGAAGGAUUGUGGUGAUUCUGAACCAGGAGUCACUGGCGCCGCUUCGUGAGAAACAGGGGAAGGUCUACUACGGCUUCGAGUCGAUCUUCCUCCGUGUCUACCGAGGCGACGACAAGGGACUGUUGGAAAGGGAUGAUCCCGAUCCUGAACAAUCUUCUGCAGAGAUGUCAUGCGACGAGACUGAUGUUUCACUCAGCCAAAGUACCACUAAAUCAACCUCUCGAUUGGUUAAGGGUUUCUUUGACGGAGUGGAACUGUCAGUUGACGAAGACGAUCUCCUUGCCUCAGACAAGGAGGACGCCAACGUCACAGUGUUGCACUUUGACACAAAAGGAGAUGGUGAGAUUAACUCAAAUUAAUCUCCACCACUCCAAAGCAGCUUCGGCUGCUCUGCUCCUCCGUAUGGGCGUCGGUGGGGAGGAGCUCGCCUUAGUCCAGGAACCCUGGAUCCACCAAGAAAGGGUGAGCGGACUAGGCAUGAAAAGCUAUAAGCUACUAUACCAAAGAAGAUCUGUGAUGAAGACACCGUUGUAGCCACAUGGGAAACCAGUGUAGGUGCUAUACUGGUAAUAUCCGCCUACAUGGCUCACGACCAUAGCGACCAACCACCAAACAGCUUGGUCUGCAGAUCCAUUGAGAUGGCUAAUUCCAAGGGAAUGCCGAUCAUCAUGGGGGCUGAUGCAAAUGCCCACCACACUGUCUGGGGAAGCUCGGAUAUAAAUGCUAGAGGUACCACAAAGGGAUCAUAACAUGGACCCAAGUGUGCCCCUAAUGCGAACUGCAAGGGACAGCCUGCAAACCUAACCAAACCUACUUUAUAAU